GACGAACGCUGGCGGCGUGCCUAAUACAUGCAAGUCGAGCGCAGGAAACUGACGGAACUCUUCGGAGGGAAGGCAGUGGAAUGAGCGGCGGACGGGUGAGUAACACGUAGGGAACCUGCCUCAAGGAUUGGGAUAACUCCGAGAAAUCGGAGCUAAUACCGGAUAGUUCAACGGACCGCAUGGUCCGCUGAUGAAAGACGCUCCGGCGUCACCUUGAGAUGGCCUUGCGGUGCAUUAGCUAGUUGGCGGGGUAACGGCCCACCAAGGCGACGAGGCAUAGCCGACCUGAGAGGGUGAUCGGCCACACUGGGACUGAGACACGGCCCAGACUCCUACGGGAGGCAGCAGUAGGGAAUCUUCCACAAUGGACGAAAGUCUGAUGGAGCAACGCCGCGUGAGUGAUGAAGGUUUUCGGAUCGUAAAACUCUGUUGUAAGGGAAGAACACGUACGAGAGGGAAUGCUCGUACCUUGACGGUACCUUACGAGAAAGCCACGGCUAACUACGUGCCAGCCACCGCCGUAA
rnacentral:rRNA from 1 species